rnacentral:rRNA from 1 species
AUGCUAGGUCCAUGCUCAGCAAUUGACCCUUUUCUAGCCUGCCUCAACCGUUCCACUGAAGAUGAUUUUGGAUGGCCCAGAUCAAUUUCGUGGACAACUCCAAUGCUAGGUCCAUGCUCAGCAAUCGACCCUUUUCUAGCCUGCCUCAACCGUUCCAUUGAAGAUGAUUUUGUUGAUGCUGUUAUGCAUGGUUGUGUCGCCACUGUCGCUAGCAAUGCUGCUGUGCCUGGUCGCUCCUAUGUCGCUCCUCUAUCUGCAUCUGUAGCUUCUGCAUCCGGAUGUCUCGUAACUGCUGCUUGCUGCUUCUUCGUGCGCCUCUACAGCUUCUUGCAAACCGCCGCUGCUACGCCGACUUCAGGCUGCAGUGAUGAUAUUGCUGCCAUGCUUGCCAUGUUUGUCGCUGAAGCCAUUGCUGCCCUCCUUUACUUUGCUGCCUUGAUAUCAAGCAUAUACAAAUCUUGA